ensembl:snoRNA Gm25346 predicted gene, 25346
ACUGUCCCUAGAGGCAUUGGAGGCUGCUUUGCCACAUGUGGAUCAGAAGGUGACAGAGAGGAGAGAGGCUAUGUUCAGCAUUCUUACCCAUGAACGUCUGAAUGAUUACCAUAGCCUAACAUU